rnacentral:lncRNA from 1 species
GCUUAAUAGCUUAUCAGGCUUGAGUGGUCCUGUGUGACGUGCUCCCUGUCUGGCGGCUGAUGCUGUGAAGCGCGCUCAGGCAAGCUCCGAAGUUGUGAUAUGGAUGCAGUGACCUAUGAUGAUGUGCAUGUAAACUUGACUCGAGAAGAAUGGGCUUUGCUGGAUCCUUCACAGAAGCGUCUCUACAAAGAUGUGAUGCUGGAGACCUACAAGAACCUCACUGCUAUAGGCUACAAUUGGGAAUACCAUAACAUUGAAGAACAUUGUCAAAGUUCUAGAAGACAUAGAAGCAGGCAUGAAAGAAGUCAUACUGGAGAGAAACCCUCUGUAUUCAACACUCAAUGUGGUAAAGCCUUUGCAUGUCACACUUAUCCUCAAAGGCAUGAAAGAAUUCAUACUAGAGAGAAAUCCUAUGAAGGUGUUCAAUAUGAUGAAGCCUUGGUACAUCACAGUAAUCUCCAAACACAUAAAAGAACACAUCCUAAAGAGAAACCCUACAAAUGCGAUCAAUGUGAUAAAGCCUAUUCACAACAUAGUCAUCUCCAAAGACAUAAAAGAAAACACACUGGAGAGAAACCUUAUGAAUGUAAGCAAUGUGGCAAAGCCUUUGCAUACCAUUCUGAACUUCAGAGUCAUGAAAGAAUUCAUACUGGAGAGAAACCCUACAAAUGUAAUCAAUGUGGUAAAGCCUUUGCACAUCAUUGCAAUCUUCGAGUGCAUAAAAUAAUACAUACUGGAGAGAAGCCCUACAAAUGCAAUCAAUGUGAUAAAGCCUAUUCACAACACUGUAAUCUCCAAAUACAUAAAAGUACACAUACUGGAGAGAAGUCCUAUAAAUGUAAUCAAUGUGGUAAAGCCUUUGUAUAUUAUGGUUAUCUUCAAAGACAUAAAACAACACACACUGGAGAGAAACCUUACAAAUGUAAUCUAUGUGGUAAAGCCUUUGCAUCUCAUCGUUAUCUCCAAGUACAUAAAAGUACACAUACUGGAGAGAAACCCCAUGAAUGUAAUCAAUGUGGUAAAGCCUUUGUAUAUCAUGAUCAUCUUCAAAUACAUAAAAGAACACAUACUGGAGAGAAACCCUAUGAAUGUAAUCACUGUGGUAAAACCUUUGCAGCCCAUCGUUAUCUCCAAGUACAUAAAAGAACACAUACUGGAGAGAAACCCUAUGAAUGUAAUCAAUGUGGUAAAGCCUUUGCAUCUCAUAGUUAUCUCCAAGUACAUAAAAGAACACAUACUGGAGAGAAACCCUAUGAAUGCAGUCAAUGUGAUAAAGCUUUUGCAUAUCCUGGUUAUCUCCAAGUACAUAAAAGAACACAUACUGGAGAGAAACCGUAUGAAUGCAAUCAAUGUGGUAAAGCCUUUGCAGGUCAGAAUGUUCUUAAAAGACAUGAAAAAAUUCAUACUGGUGAGAAACCUUACAUAUGUAAUGAAUGUGGUAAAGCCUUUGUGAGUAACACUAGUCUCCAAAUACAUAAAGCAACACAUACUGGAGAGAAGCCUUAUGAAUGUAAGCAAUGUAGUAAAUCCUUUGCCUCUCAUGGCCAACUUCAAAGUCAUGAAAUAAUUCACACUGGAGAGAAACCCUACAAAUGUAAUGGAUGUGAUAAAGCCUAUUCACGACACAGUCAUCUCCAAAGACAUAAAAGAACACAUACUAUGACUGUAACCAAUGUGAUAGAGCCUUUACAGGUCACAGUGAUCUUCAAAGGUAUGGAAGUUUGAAUAUGCUUGGCCCAUGGCAAGUGGCACUAUUAGGAGUUGUGGCCUUCUUUGAGGAAGUGGAUCACUAUGGCAGUGGGCUUUGAGAUCCUAUGCGUAAGCCCCUCCCAGGGCAGAAGAGUUUUCUGGGUGCCUUCUAAUCAAGAUGUAAAACUCUCAGCUCCUCCAGCACCAUGUCUGCUGGACACUGCUAUUCUUUCCACCUUGAUGAUAAUAGACUGAACCUCUGAAUCUGUACAGAACCUUCAAAUAAAUGUUGUCCUUUAUAAGUGUUGUCUUGGUCAUAGUAUCUUUUUCACAGCAAUAAAACCCAGACUAAGACAAAGGGCAUAAAAGAUAACACGCUGAAGAGAAACCCUGUGAAUGUGUUGAAUAGUUCUUAUUGCAACAGAAGUAUUCAAACUUCCAUUCACUGAAACCCUGUUAAUGGAAGUAAUGUACAGCCUUUGUCCUUCACAGUUAUCACUGAAUGUAGAAAAUAACACAUACUGGAGAAAAGCCUUAUGAACCUCAAUGUGAUAAAGUCUGUUUUAAAAUCUGCAAAGAUCCAUAACAAUACAAACACCUGGUCAAAGUAAAUGCCAAGAAUUACUGUAAUCAAGCUGUUUGGGUUAAAAGGUUAGGUUAGGGUUAGGUGUUGGAGGUUAAAGGUUAUGGAGUUAGGAUUGGGGGUUAGGGGUAAGGUUUAGGGUUAGAGGGUUAUGGUUGGGGAGUAAGGGUAUAGGGAUUAGAGUUUAGGAGGGUUAAGGUUAGGGAUUAGCGUUGGGGUUUAGGGCUAGGUUAGGGUUAGGUGUGUUAAGGUUGGGGAGGUAGGGUUAGAGGGUUAGCAGUUAGGGGUUAUUAGGAAAAGAAAUGCCAGCAGUGAUUCCUUUUAGGGUUCAGGUUAGGGUGAGCUUUAGUGUUAGAGCUUAGAGAGAGAGACAGAGAGGCAUUACUUUUAGGGAGGAAAUAGGUUGGCUGGGGAAAGAGGA